AAAAAAACCUAACUUUUUAACUCACCCGUUCCUUUCCCCUUUGCCCUAAUUUGCCUUGGCAGCGGCGGCGCGUGGUGAUUCCCGUCCUCUUCAUACCUCUCUUCCUUCUCCGACGGGUCUUCCGGCACUCGUCCACCGGCGUCUGGCUCUCUCCUGUCGCAGGAGGUCGUUGCUGGCACUGGCCGGCCGCGGGAGCCCGCGCUUGGCGCUAGCAGGUCGCACCUGCCGCUGGCCGGCCGCGGGAGGUCGCGCCUGGCUCUGGCCGACCUCGGGAGGCCGCCCCUGGAGCUGGCCGGCCGCCGGAGGCCGCGCCUAGCUCUCGGCAGGCGCGAGACGCCUACGGUGUAAUGGGCCUCGGGCAGCUUCCUGCGACGUCGAAGGUCAAGUUAGGGAUCGCGCGCGGUGACGCUGGUGCCGAUUCACAUGGUUGCAGGGGUGUUGAUACUCGUGCUUUAAUACCUUAUCUUCCGGAUCUGCACGCUGUUCUCACCUCCGAGUCGGGAGAAUGGCCAGGAGGACUAUGCUCACAUGACGGGGUGGAGGAGGGCGGUGGUUGUGCGGUGCGGGAGAUUUGCCUCUAGAGCAAUGCUCUUUACGUUUGGUUUCUAUUGGAUUAAAGAGAGUCACAUGAGUCUCGACAAUGAGGUCAAUGAAUUUGAAAAGCCAUAUGCAGUUGUCUCAAAUCACAUUUCUUAUGUGGAUAUUCUUUAUCAUAUGUCGUUAGCCUUUCCAAGUUUGUUGCAAAGAGAUCAGUAGCUCAGCUUCCCUUGGUUGGUCUCAUCAGGAUUGGUGCAAUGAAAAUCAAUGUCGGAGAAAAAAGAAUAUUCGAAGAAGAUGGAGAAGAUUUAGUGAUGCUUGGAUAUUUGUUGAUGUAUGGAUGGUUUAAAACUUCUUAUGAUGUUUGGAUUGUAUGGAUAUUAGGCCUUUUUGAUGUAUGAAAUGUUUUGGAUUGUAUGGAUAUUAGAUGAUGUAUGCAUUUUGAUGUAUGAAAUGUUUGGAUUUUAUGGAUAUUUUGUGAUGUUUGGAUUUGA